AUAGCCAUUAGAAAUAGUGGAUAAUACCGAAUACGCUCAUGACCCUGUGGGGAUAUGAGGAAAACAGGCUACGGCCUGGCUCGAGGAUGGGCCCGCGUCCCAUUAGCUAGUUGGUGAGGUAACGGCCCACCAAGGCGACGAUGGGUAUCCGGCCUGAGAGGGUGUACGGUACACAUUGGGACUGAGAUACGGCCCAAACUCCUACGGGAGGCAGCAGCUAAGAAUAUUCCGCAAAUGGGCGAAAGUCUGACGGAGCGACGCCGCGUGGAUUGAAGAAGGACCCGGAAGGUUGUAAAAUCCUUUUGCUGAUGUAAGAAUUAAGUGUGGUAGGGAAUUGACCGCAUGAUGACAUUAGUCGGUGAAUAAGCCCCGGCUAACUAACGUGCCAGCAGCCGC
rnacentral:rRNA from 1 species